AUUCUGCUGUCACAUAAAGGAGAGGUAGAAACAUUCAGCAGUGAGAUAUUCAGAUGUGACAUUUCGUAUCUUUAUCUGAAGAAAUCUGCAUCUCCAGGAUCAAGGUUCCGGAGCCGCUGCUCCUCUGUGCGCCGCCGAGCUGCCCGUAACGCCAUUAUCGUAUUCUUCUAUUUUUCUCACUGCCAUUUAAUGUGAUUUUUUUCUUAUUUCUAUUUGACGCCGCGGCUCUGCAGACAUGUCAAUCUCCACGGGCUCAGAUCUGCGAUUCCAUGUUGGGAACUAUGAGAAAAAUGAAUUUUAAUGGGAGAGUAUUGACUUUUAUCAGGGAAGGCGCGAUGACAUCCUGAGACGGCGCCGAAAAGACGCUUCAGUGGGGACUGGAUAGAUGCGGCAGGUUUACGGCGAGGUGAUGUGUUCAUCAGGGCUUAAUGCAGGAAUAUGGAAUAAUAACCCUCAGCAUCUCCCGCAGAUGAAUGGACAGGCAGUGGUUCCGCAGGAGACCCACCUGACGGAGAGGGCGUAGACAUGGAAGGACCCGUAAAAACAUGAGCACAGAAAGCCCCCAAAGCUGCCCAAAUGAAAUUACCAUUCAAGAAGAAAUAAUACCAUUAAAGACGGUUGGUGAAGGUGUGAUGGCUGCACUUUAGGUUUCACUCACUAUAGUUAUUUCACUAACACAUAUCCUGCCAUGGGGGGUUAGAUGAUCAUUUUUUUCUAAAUUGUAGGAGCCCAGUUAUGUGAUU